UACGUAGGGUGCAAGCGUUGUCCGGAAUUAUUGGGCGUAAAGAGCUCGUAGGCGGUCUGUCGCGUCUGCUGUGAAAACUCAGGGCUUAACCCUGAGCUUGCAUCGGGUACGGGCAGACUAGAGUGCGGUAGGGGAGACUGGAAUUCCUGGUGUAGCGGUGAAAUGCGCAGAUAUCAGGAGGAACACCGGUGGCGAAGGCGGGUCUCUGGGCCGAGACUGACGCUGAGGAGCGAAAGCGUGGGGAGCGAACAGG
rnacentral:rRNA from 1 species